rnacentral:rRNA from 1 species
AGCUCUGUAAGCGUAUACCCAAGUUGUUGCAGUUAAAACGCUCGUAGUCGGAGGUUGGCGGGUGAGACGGGGCGUCUUCGCGGACGCUCCCGGCUUGGCCGCCUUUGUGGAGGGGGGCACAGUGCCGCUUGAGUGCGGUGCUGUUGUCGCUGCCACCGUUUACUGUGAAAAAAUUAGAGUGUUCAAAGCGGGCGUUUGCCAUGAAUACCUUAGCAUGGAAUAAUAGAAUAGGACCUGCGUCCUGUUUUGUUGGUUUGUGAGGACUGGGUAAUGAUUAAGAGGGACGGUUGGGGGCAUUUGUAUUCCGGCGUCAGAGGUGAAAUUCUUGGAUUGUCGGAAGACAAACGGCUGCGAAAGCGUCUGCCAAGGACGUUUUCA